UUAGUUAAAAGUUAGAUUUAAGCUUUUAUAUUUUUUAAUUUUAAAUUUUAUUAAUUGAAAGUUUGAUCCUUGCUUGUUCCUCUGUUUAAAGAAGAGUUUACAUGUAAGUAAGUGCGGGAUAAUUUAAAUUAAUAUAUUUUGUUUAGUUAGGUUUCAGUAUAUGUAUUUGGUUUGUGGAGUAGUUCUCUGAUCCAGUAAUUCUAGGAAUUUCAGGUAAAAUUUGUGCCAGCAGCCGCGGUUAGACUGGGAGAAAGGAUGGAGGGAUUGAAGCUAUUAGUUAUAAGAUAAGAAUUUGUGAGUUUUUUCUUUUAGUGAGUUGAGGGGUGAAAUUUAUAGUUCAGUAGUAAUGUUGAGACUUGCUUAUUUUCUUAGAGGCUAUUAAAAUCUAGGUUUAGACCAGGAUUAGAUACCCUGUUAUACUGGAUUUGAAAUAUAUUGCUUGAUUAGUAUUAGUUAUGGUCUUGAAAUUUAAAGGAUUUGGCGGUAUCCAAGUCUAGUUAGAGGAACCUGCCAUUUAAACGAUAUACCACGAAUUAUCUUACUUUAUCUUGUUAUCAGUAUGUAUACCUCCAUUAUUAGGUGGUGUAUUAAUAUAUCCAUUGAAAUUAAUUUAUGUUAAGUAUAUUAGGUCAAGGUGCAGCCAAUGGUAAAGUCAUAGGUGGGUUACAAUGUAUUGUAUUUAUAGACGAAUUGUUUCUUGAAAAUGAAACUUGAAGGUGGAUUUAAUUGUAUUUUCAUUUUAAUAUGUUAAAUUGAUAUUAGCUCUAGGAUAUGUACACAUCGCCCGUCGCUCUCACUACUUAAAGUGAGAUAAGUCGUAACAUAGUAGUUGUAUUGGAAAAUGCAUCUAGU